rnacentral:rRNA from 1 species
UCACGGGGGGCAGCAGUCGAGAAUCAUUCACAAUGGGGGAAACCCUGAUGGUGCGACGCCGCGUGGGGGAAUGAAGGUCUUCGGAUUGUAAACCCCUGUCAUGUGGGAGCAAAUUAAAAAGAUAGUACCACAAGAGGAAGAGACGGCUAACUCUGUGCCAGCAGCCGCGGUAAUACAGAGGUCUCAAGCGUUGUUCGGAAUCACUGGGCGUAAAGCGUGCGUAGGCUGUUUCGGAAGUCGUUUGUGAAAGGCGCGGGCUCAACCCCGGCGAGCCGUUGAAACUGGCUGUCUUGAGAUGUCGAGAGGUAUGCGGAAUGCGCAGGGUAGCGGUGAAAUGCUGAGAUAUUGCGCAGAACUCCGAUUGCGAAGGCAGCAUACCGGCGGCGAUCUGACGCUGAGGCACGAAAGCGUGGGUAUCGAACAGGAUUAGAUACCCCUGUAGUC